rnacentral:tRNA from 1 species
GGCGUUGUGGCUCAGUGGUAGAGCGCUUGCCUCGAAUGUAUGAGGUCCUGGGUUCGAUCCUCAGCACCA